AGCGAACGCUGGCGGCAGGCCUAACACAUGCAAGUCGAACGGACCCUUCGGGGUUAGUGGCGGACGGGUGAGUAACACGUGGGAACGUGCCUUUAGGUUCGGAAUAGCUCCUGGAAACGGGUGGUAAUGCCGAAUGUGCCCUUCGGGGGAAAGAUUUAUCGCCUUUAGAGCGGCCCGCGUCUGAUUAGCUAGUUGGUGAGGUAACGGCUCACCAAGGCGACGAUCAGUAGCUGGUCUGAGAGGAUGACCAGCCACACUGGGACUGAGACACGGCCCAGGCUCCUACGGGAGGCAGCAGUGGGGAAUCUUGCGCAAUGGGCGAAAGCCUGACGCAGCCAUGCCGCGUGAAUGAUGAAGGUCUUAGGAUUGUAAAAUUCUUUCACCGGGGACGAUAAUGACGGUACCCGGAGAAGAAGCCCCGGCUAACUUCGUG
rnacentral:rRNA from 1 species